GGAUUAGAUACCCUGGUAGUCCACGCCGUAAACGAUGUCUACUUGGAGGUUGUGGCCUUGAGCCGUGGCUUUCGGAGCUAACGCGUUAAGUAGACCGCCUGGGGAGUACGGUCGCAAGAUUAAAACUCAAAUGAAUUGACGGGGGCCCGCACAAGCGGUGGAGCAUGUGGUUUAAUUCGAUGCAACGCGAAGAACCUUACCUACUCUUGACAUCCAGGAAAUUUUUCAGAGAUGAAUUAGUGCCUUCGGGAAUCCUGAGACAGGUGCUGCAUGGCUGUCGUCAGCUCGUGCCG
rnacentral:rRNA from 1 species